GUAACGCGUGAGUAACCUGCCUCUCAGAGGGGGAUAACGUUCUGAAAAGGACGCUAAUACCGCAUGACAUCCCGGGGCCGCAUGGUCCUGGGAUCAAAGGAGCAAUCCGCUGAGAGAUGGACUCGCGUCCGAUUAGCUAGUUGGUGAGAUAAAGGCCCACCAAGGCGACGAUCGGUAGCCGGACUGAGAGGUUGAACGGCCACAUUGGGACUGAGACACGGCCCAGACUCCUACGGGAGGCAGCAUG
rnacentral:rRNA from 1 species